CCUACGGGAGGCAGCAGUGGGGAAUAUUGCACAAUGGGCGCAAGCCUGAUGCAGCCAUGCCGCGUGUGUGAAGAAGGCCUUCGGGUUGUAAAGCACUUUCAGCGGGGAGGAAGGCGGUGAGGUUAAUAACCUCAUCGAUUGACGUUACCCGCAGAAGAAGCACCGGCUAACUCCGUGCCAGCAGCCGCGGUAAUACGGAGGGUGCAAGCGUUAAUCGGAAUUACUGGGCGUAAAGCGCACGCAGGCGGUCUGUCAAGUCGGAUGUGAAAUCCCCGGGCUCAACCUGGGAACUGCAUUCGAAACUGGCAGGCUAGAGUCUUGUAGAGGGGGGUAGAAUUCCAGGUGUAGCGGUGAAAUGCGUCGAGAUCUGGAGGAAUACCGGUGGCGAAGGCGGCCCCCUGGACAAAGACUGACGCUCAGGUGCGAAAGCGUGGGGAGCAAACAGGAUUAGAUACCCCUGUAGUC
rnacentral:rRNA from 1 species